CUCUGAUUUAGCUGUCAACCUGGCAACGGAUUCCGUCGUCACCACUCGCCCAGGACCUGAAGUCCUCCACAGAUAAACCCUGUAUGACAGCCCCAAGUCUCACCUUGACUACUCCGACUUCAUUUCUAACUUCUACUAUAACUACUACCACUCUCGCUGCUACAAGCGUCAAGUGCUAGUGCGCGACUACUGUUUUUCACAGCACCGCCACCCAUUCACUCAUGAUGUUACUACUGCAUCUGCUGCUGUCAAUACUUAUGAGUACUACUGUGAUCCCACCAAGUUCACCACCGUUUAGUCUUCCGCUUGACUGCACUACUUGCAGUCAUUUCUAUUCAUACUACGAUCACUUCUUCCGUUGUUGCUUCUGAUUCUACUACCAUUAAUCAUACUAUUUACACUGUUACCAGCAAUACUCUCGAGUCACUGGGGCUACCUCAAUGAGUGCUACUACUACAUUUACUCAUGCUAAUUGUUUGACUAUAUUUUGGCUAGCAUGAUUAUUUCCAGUACUGCUACUGUCAUCUGUACUUCUACAAUUACUAAGUACACGUGAGUACAAUUACUUCUCUCAUCAGUACUUCUACCUCCCUAAGUACUGCUUCAGCUCAUCAUUCUUGUACAGCUAUCAGCAGACCUAAAUAUUCUUCAGCAGUACUACCACAGGCGUGUACUCAGGCUGCCAUUGUACCGUUGCUGCCACUUGAUAACUACAACUUCUGUCGCAAUACAUUGCCACUGACCAUGAGACUUUGAGCUCUGAGUACUUUCAACUACUUAAGUACAACUUGGUUAUUAAACUUUUUAUGUACAUUUUAUUAAAGGCUGUGUGUUUACCAUGAAUCGAGUGAGAAACAAAUGUGUUCAUGAAAGGUCGAGGCCCCCGGGGCCUGAUAAAGGGCCGCAAAUGGCCUCCGAACCGCACUUUGGGCACUGUGAUGUAGCACGAGCAACAAUGACUUUAAAGAAAAUGAACUGCCCAUGUAUUUCUUUGCACUCACUGAGUGUCCCAGGUCCCCAGCUGGCGCCGGUCCGGCGCGGAAGUGGGCCGGACCUCGUUCUUUAAAUACAGUGUGGAGCAGGCGCAGUUCGGCGGCGACAUGUCGGAGCAGCGGCGAGGACUGGUCUACCUCAUCACCGGCGGCUGCGGCUUCCUGGGCCAGCACCUCUUGCGGCUCUUGUUGGAGAAAGAGCCCAACCUGUCAGAGGUUCGAGUGUUCGACAAAUACACGGAUCCGACUUUGACCCAACUCGGCUCAGAGCGGACCAGGGUCACGGUCGUCCAGGGUGACAUCACCAACCUGGACAGUGUGCUGGACGUGACGAGCGGCGCCGACCUGGUGAUCCACGCCGCCAGCCUAGUGGACGUCUGGCACAGAGUCCCGGAGACGCUCAUCGAGGCCGUCAACGUUACAGGGACGGAGCAUGUGAUCAACGCCUGCGUGGAGAACAACAUCCAGCACCUGCUCUACACCAGCAGCAUGGAGGUGAUCGGACCCAACAUGGACGGAGACCCUUUCCUCAGAGGGAACGAAGAAACAGCCUAUAAGAUCAGGCACACCAUGCCGUACCCCAAGAGCAAAGCCAAGGCGGAGAGGAUCGUGCUACAGGCAAAUGGACUCAAGUUGAGGAACGGCAGGAGUCUGCGCACCUGCGCUCUGAGGCCGACCGGGAUCUACGGCGAAGGCCACCAGCUGAUGAAGGACUUCUACACAGAGUGCGUUCGGAGGGGCGGUCUGCUGGUGGGUGGGGUGCCAGACCGCACCGAGCACGGGCGAGUCUACGCAGGAAACGUGGCCUGGAUGCACAUCCUGGCGGCCCGUGCUCUCAUGGAUCGUCCUGAAAGUGUGGCAGGAGAGGCCUUCUUCUGCUACGACGACUCGCCCUACCUGAGCUACGAGAAUUUCAACAUGGUCCUCCUCUCCGCAUUCAAGUUCCGUAAAGUCAGCCUGCCCCUGACGCUGCUCUGGUUCUUCGCCAUCUUCAACGAUGUUCUCCGCUGGGUCCUCAGUCCGGUAUACAACUUCACCCCGCUGCUCAACAGGUACACCUUGGCGGUGGCGCGCACUUCCUUCACGGUGCAGACGGACAAAGCUCUGCGCCACUUCCAGUACUGGCCGUUGUACGACUGGGAAGAGUGUCGGGAGCGUACGCAGAGGUGGAUCGACACCUUUCCCAAAGCUCCAUGAGGACUGGAGGACUAUUUUUGUGAGACCUUCCAUUCAGAAAAUGAUCGAACUACAACACUCUGAGAACAUAUUAGGCGUUGUCAUGGAGAUGGAACAUAGCUAAAUGGAGGCGUGACGACAAAGAACCAUCAUCCAUCUUCAAAAACAUCUGUUGUGCAAUAUGUUGCUGUGCAGGCCGAUGGCUGAAGAAAGGGAGUUCCCUCACCACCAGGGUUCCCCCACUGUAGCGUCGGAGUUUCCAUGGGUCUCUGAAUAAUAUUUACAUUCCUUCCAUGACUCAUGCUGAAAGCUAACCUCACCCUGACCUGUUCCACUACAUGGAGUCAUUAGCAGACAAUGUUUACAGGUUAGAUCACAGCACCAGGAAACUCUCGGGGAUAGCCUGGCUUUGACACUCCGGUUUCCUCCCACAGAGCUUAAUGGAUCAUUCUAAACUUGCUGCAAGUUUUCCCGUCUGGCCCCGGCCUUGAUGAUGCCAUUAGACAAAUGAAAGUCACUCGUUGCCAAAGGCUGUCAUGUUGACUGUCUUCCUCACCUGAGAAUACCUGACAUCCGCCCGCAAACUUGGAAAAUGGACUUUCGUUUUGACGUUUGAAGUAUUUCAGAGACUCAAUGAAAUAAUGAUGUAGUGAAAAUGUAUUUAUUGUGAGGGAAUAGAAACACAGAAGGUGACUGUCAAAAGGACCAUUAAUAGAUGUUCAUAAUCCAUGAAUGUGUAUUGGUCACUUCAAUGUUAACGGACUACUAAAAAGAAACAUUUCUAAAGACCAGUUUUCCAUCA